AUGGAGCGCAAGAACAGAACCCUCAUUGAGAUGGCACGGACGAUGCUUAAUGAGUACAAGACUCCAAGGAAGUUCUGGCCUGAAGCCACUGAUACUGCAUGCCAUGUCAUCAACCGUGUUUAUCUUCACAAGCUUCUAAAGAAGACAUCAUAUGAGCUACUAACUGGUAAGAAGCCAAACGUUAGUUACUUCAGAGUAUUUGGUGCUAGGUGCUGGAUCAAGGAUCCACAUCAGACUUCAAAAUUUGCAUCGAAAGCACAUGAAGGUUUUAUGCUUGGAUACGGAAAGGAUUCGCACUCCUACAGAGUCUUCAACCUCUUUCACUAUAAAGUGGUUGAAGCUGUGGAUAUGCGGUUCUAUGAGACUAAUGGCUCUCAAAGAGAGCACCUGCCAAAUGUGCUAGAUGAAGUCCCACCUAGUGAAUCUAUCAAGCUGAUGGGUACUGGAGAAAUCAUACCUUCAGAAGCUCAGGCUGAAGAAGAAAUCAUCAUUGCACCAAAUCAACCCAAAGACAAUGCUCAGCCUGAAGUCAAUGCUGAAGCUGAAGACAAUGAUCUGCAAGGGCAAAAUCUUCGUCCAGUUCAUCCUCGUGUUGCAAAUGAAGUACAGAUUGAGAAGAUAAUCGAUAACAUCAAUGCACCUGGUCCACUCACUCGUUCAAGAGCAACACAGCUAGCAAAUUUCUGUGGGCACUUUGCAUUUGUCUCUAUAUCUGAACCCAAGAAAGUUGGUGAAGCCUUUAUGGAACCUGAAUGGAUUCAAGCUAUGCAAGAAGAGCUUCAACAGUUCGAGCUGAAGAAUGUAUGGGAAUUGGUCAAGCGUCCUGAUCCUCGCAAGCACAAUAUCAUAGGCACCAAAUGGAUCUAUCGCAACAAACAAGAUGAGCAUGGUCAAGUUGUCAGAAACAAGGCUCGUCUAGUUGCCCAAGGUUACACUCAAGUUGAAGGGAUUGACUUCGAUGAAACAUUUGCUCCCGUGGCUAGGCUUGAAGCCAUUAGCAUACUACUAGCCUAUGCCAACCAUCACAACAUUCUUCCGUACCAAAUGGAUGUGAAGAGUGCCUUUCUCAAUGGCAAGAUUGAAGAAGAAGUGUAUGUUGCACAACCACCUGGCUUUGAAGAUCCAAAACAUCCUGAUAUGGUAUACAAGCUCAACAAGGCACUGUAUGGCCUCAAACAAGCUCCUCGCGCUUGGUAUGACACACUCAAAGACUUCCUGAAGAGCAAAGGCUUCAAACCUGGUUCUCUAGAUCCUACGCUCUUCACGAAGACAUAUGAUGGUGAACUGUUUGUGUGCCAAAUCUAUGUGGAUGACAUUAUCUUCGGCUACACUGCCAAGAGAUACAAUGAUGAGUUUGGGUACAUGAUGCAAGAGCAAUAUCAGAUGUCCAUGAUGGGUGAGCUGAAAGUUUUCCUUGGUCUUCAAAUCCGUCAGCAGAGCAACGCCAUCUUCAUAUCACAAGAGAAAUACCACAAGGAUUUCCUGAAGAAGUUUGGAAUGCAAGACUGCAAAGGAUACACAACGCCAAUGCCAACCAAAAGUCAUCUGGGCCCUGACGACAAUGGUAAAGAGUUCGAUCAAAAGGUAUACCGCUCCAUGAUUGGUUCUUUACUCUAUUUAUGUGCAUCUAGGCCAGAUAUAAUGCUUAGCGUUUGCAUGUGUGCCCGAUUCCAAGCGGCACCAAAGGAAUCGCAUCACUUAGCUGUGAAGCGAAUUCUUCGAUAUUUGGCUUACACCCCAACACUAGGAUUAUGGUAUCCAAAGGGCUCAGAGUUUGAUCUAGUUGGAUUCUCAGAUGCUGAUUAUGCUGGUGAAAAGGUUGAUCGCAAGUCCACAUCAGGCACAUGUCACUUUCUUGGACGAUCUCUUGUCUGUUGGUCUUCAAAGAAGCAGAACUGUGUAUCUCUCUCCACUGCUGAAUCUGAAUACAUUGCUGCUGGAUCUUGCUGUGCUCAGCUUCUAUGGAUGAAGCAAGCUCUCAAGGACUAUGGCAUCCAUCUGAAGCAUGUGCCACUCUACUGCGACAAUGAAAGCGCCAUGAAGAUUGCCAACAACCCAGUUCAGCACUCAAAGACAAAGCACAUUCAUAUCCGUCAUCAUUUUCUCAGAGAUCAUGUCAUGAAGGAAGAUAUUGAUAUCAUUCACGCCAACACUGAAUAG
rnacentral:rRNA from 1 species